AGUAAGCACUCAGCAUUUCAGCUUCUUGCCAUCUCUCCUAAUCAAGAGGAAUUUUCCUCUUGGAAUAAGGCAGAGAUAAUCAGGCUUCGGGGGUCUUGUGAGAAUGAUGCCUUAGGACACAGCUGCCUCAUUCCCCAUGCCAGCACAUUCUGGAAAGGGAUGGAAGAUUCUUUGUGGGCCUUGAGGUGGACUGUGACCUUGGAGUCAUGCUGAGUCACCGGCUGUAACCACUGAGACACAGUGGUGAAGAUGAUCUGCAGACUAUAUAGUACAAGAGGCUCCAGGAGUCUAACAGAGCUUAAUGUAGAUCAAGCUCAGAACAAGUGCCCGCCUAGGACCCUGAGAACCUGGAGCUGUGAAUGAACCUGGGAUUGAGAAGAUGGACACCUGCUCAGGCCAUUGUCGUCAGGCUUUGCCUGUCUCACACUGCCCAUGCCAGAGACCAGACAAGGAACAGACAGCUAGGAGCAAACCUAACACCUCAGGGGCCACCUUUACCAUGAAGCUCUCCCUGCCCUGGUGGCUAAGAUUAGUCCUCAAGAGGAACCACGAUCCAGGGAGCUGAGGCAAGCAAGGGCCAGGCCAAGCCAACAAUCAAGGUGUGCUCCGCUACUGAGCUAGCUUCCGUGCCUGAGAGGAAGGUCAAGGAAGGCUGCUGCUUCUUUGGUGCCAAGGAGACAGGAUCUGCAUGUGAAAGGGGCACUCUGUGAGCUGCUCUGAGCCAUGGAUCCAACCCCAGAGCUGCUCCUGAGCUCGGCGGGCAGCAUCCUGAAGCAGAGAGAGAGAACUUAGGAUGAAAUUCCUGGGCAGAAGCCACCAAGCCUCCUCGGUCCUCCUGCCCCUCUGCACACUCUUGCAAACAGCAUGGCUUCUCUGCCAGGAACACAAAGAGAGCCAUCACUGGGAGGCAGGGACCAUCUGAAUACAGCACUCAAACUCACGGCAGUUACUCCUGGACCACUGCCCAGAGCAAUCUGUGAAGCCUCAAUACCCUAGAAAUGCUUGGAUGCUAGCACCCAUCCACUUCUCUUUAAAUAACCUGAGUGACACUUCCUGAGUGCUAAGGGCCGGACACCAAUUCAGCUGCUAAGAUAAACCCUGACUGAAGUUCA
rnacentral:lncRNA from 1 species